rnacentral:rRNA from 1 species
UACGAAGGGGGCUAGCGUUGCUCGGAAUCACUGGGCGUAAAGGGCGCGUAGGCGGAUCUUUAAGUCGGGGGUGAAAGCCCAGGGCUCAACCCUGGAAUGGCCUUCGAUACUGGAGAUCUUGAGACCGGAAGAGGUAAGUGGAACUGCGAGUGUAGAGGUGAAAUUCGUAGAUAUUCGCAAGAACACCAGUGGCGAAGGCGGCUCACUGGCCCGAUACUGACGCUGAGGUGCGAAAGCGUGGGGAGCAAACAGG